GGCUCAACCGUCAAACUGCCCCUGAAACUGUCAGGCUUGAGUUCGAGAGAGGUAGGUGGAAUUCCAGGUGUAGCGGUGAAAUGCGUAAAUAUCUGGAGGAACACCGGUGGCGAAGGCGGCCUACUGGCUCGAUACUGACGCUCAGGCACGAAAGCAUGGGGAGCGAACGGGAUUAGAUACCCCGGUAGUCCAUGCCGUAAACGAUGGGUACUAGGUGUUGGAGGAUUCUACCCCUUCAGUGCCGCAGCUAACGCAUUAAGUACCCCACCUGGGGAGUACGAUCGCAAGGUUGAAACUCAAAGGAAUUGACGGGGGCCCGCACAAGCGGUGGAGCAUGUGGUUUAAUUCGAUGCAACGCGAAGAACCUUACCUGGGCUUGACAUGCAGGGGACAGGUGUAGAAAUACACCCUUCUUCGGACUCCUGUAC
rnacentral:rRNA from 1 species